rnacentral:rRNA from 1 species
GACGUAGGGCGCGAGCGUUGUCCGGAUUUAUUGGGCGUAAAGAGCUCGUAGGCGGCUUGUCGCGUCGACUGUGAAAACCCGUGGCUCAACCAUGUGGUCUGCAGUCGAUGACGGGCAGGCUAGAAUUCGGUAGGGGAGACUGGAAUUCCUGGUGUAGCGGUGAAAUGCGCAGAUAUCAGGAGGAACACCGGUGGCGAAGGCGGGUCUCUGGGCCGAUAUUGACGCUGAGGAGCGAAAGCGUGGGGAGCGAACAGGAAUUAGAUACCCGUGGGUAGUCCGAAU